ACGUUUACGCUGACUCCUCCAGUGCCUCAUCAAUGAAGUAAGCAGGCAGCUACGUUCUGGAUGGCUAGCAUGUACCGAAGGCACAAAACCUCCAGAGUUGGCAGAGUUAAGUCCUGGCGUGCCCGAGGCUAUCCAGGGGAACACGCGGGACAGACAGCACCCUCAGCCUGUCCCCAUGACCCUCUGCUCCAGUCUGAGGGGCAGGACACCAUGAGACCUCUCAGACACAGAGUCCACCCUCGACAUGACCCGGAUGAAAGGCAGGAGUGUGUGCCCUGCUUUUGCCCUCGAAGCUCGCUGAAGGGGACCCAUCUCUGCAAGCCCACAGCCCUACCUGCAGCAUCCACAGCCUCAGAGAGCAGCGGGGCCCCUUACCCCUGAACCCCCUCCAAGAGCAUCAGGACAACAAGCCUUGAGCUGUGGAGACAAGAGAAUCAGUAUCCCUGGCCCAGGGAGGAUUCCAGGAGAGGACACGGGCAGGAGCCCUGGCCCAGAGCCAGAACCAAGAGUCCAGCCAGCGAAACUGGAACUAGGGUCCCCGGCACCCAGGACUCUGCGAGCAUCCCCCAACAGCAAGCCCUUCUGCAAGGGAGACGGGUUGGCCCACCCCAGGCUGUCCAGCUCCAGCAGCCUUGCAGGCAGCCUCUCCAGAAAAAGAGCCUGGUCCUCCCCACCCUGCUCCCCACAGGCUGUCCCUGACCCUGAGGCCCAGAGGCACAAGAGGACUUCUGUAGAGCCCAGGGGAGCAGGCUGUUCUCUUGGGGCCCCAGCGGGCUCAAGGUGUGGCCAGGCUGUCCCCAACUCAGGAUAGAUCAUAGGCUGUCCUGCGUACCUCCUCUGGAACUCCCUGCCCAAGCUCUGCCAUGGACCUGGACGUCAGGGGCCUGUGGUUUAACUUUGAAUAGGGAUUCUGGACCUUACACGUGUGCCCUGGACAGCCCCAGAACCAUGGGGUGGGGACCGACCCAGCAAGCCCACCGGGGCCCUGAAACCCGGCCCUGCCGGACACUGUGAUAAUAACCAAGAGGCAAGUCCAGAGACAUCCACUUUGCCCAAUGGCACCUGCAUCCAACUUCUCAGCAGGCAGUGACUGGCAUGGUGUGGGGGCAGCCGGGGCAGCACCUGGCCAGCACCUGGCCAGCUGCCCUGUAGCCCCCGAUGGCUCCAGUGCCUCUGGACCUCAUUUUCUACUUUCUACGGGGAAACCUACUCCCUCAGAGGCCACCAGAGGGAAGAGUGAGCAAGGCGUUCCUGCAGUCCCGACCAGCCAGCGGCAUGUCCUGUGGCCUCUGACUCAACCUAUGAGACAGAGCUCUGAUCCCAGGGCACACUUCCCAGGACACGGGGCCCAGCCUCAACCAGAGCCCUGUGAAGGGAGGGGCACCAGGAUGACCACAUGGGGGACCAUGGCGCUGCACACCUGGGCACUGUACUUCUCAUUGGAGAAUCCAGGCAAGAUCUUGAAGCAGGUGCAUGAGGUCCUGAGCCUGUGCAGCAAACAGCACUCAUCUGGGGUUGGCACGAAGGGGUCUACAGAGCCACGGCCACCGCAGCCUCUUCCCGGCCCCAUCUGUGCAGUGCAAGUGAUCCACGCCUGCUCCUAAACCCAGCCCAGCAAGCAGCAGCAGCCCGGGCCCCCAAGCCCGCCAGGCCAAUGUGCUGCCCAGAGGCUUCGAGGCCCUGCCCGCUGUACCUCCCACCACCUGGAAGCUGCCUCCUGACGCCUUCCAGCCACUGCUGCAGCCGCAACAGGUGUCGCGGCCAGUGCAGGCUUUCCAGACGGUGGCAGCGCCCAGCAGCCGUUGCCUCAGCUCUUUGGUGGCAGCCAGGCCAACAAGGGCAGCAACGAUGACUAGGAUGAUGAGUGAGCAAACAGCUCCACACUGGUGGACAGGCUGGGUGCGCACCCGGUGGUCCUCAAAGGCUCGCUGGGCCUGUACCACCGUUAUAAAUUUGAGAUCAUGAGAUUAUACCGUUUGCCUUCUUGCUUUUUGAAGUACGAGUAUUUUUAUGCACACUUUGUAGACUUCAAAAUCCAUGAAGAGUCUCAAAGAAGCCGGAUGGAUGGAGCCUGCUGCGGAUGCCUUUUACUCUCGUAGAUCAGGGUGAUUUACAUUCCACCUGUAGUCUGCUUGCAAACACACAGAGCAGCCUUGCAGCUUUGUGCCUUUAGACUCUUGGUUUUGCAUUUCUCCCUGCUCCCUUCUUCCUUCCAGUAAGCUGCAACUUUUCUGAUUGAAAGGGUGCAAGGCUAACACACGGAAUGACUAACUCAGGAUCACAUACUGGCAGUGGGAGAGGCAGGAGGAGCAGCUGCCAUCAAUUGCCAGGGCCAAGUGGAUGAUAGGAUGGAUGCUGGUGCAUGCGGAGGAGGCAGACGCAACGCUCAUCUCUAAUAAUGAUGUCUGUUCCCUCAGAGGCGGCUAGAGCAUCACCUCUUCACGCAAGUGUCUUGAAACUCAGCUUGAAGAUUUCAGCAAAUGUGUCUUACAGAGAAGAGAAGAGGGAGUCAGCCCAUCGGGAUUAAAAAUAUAGAGGCAGUGACAACACACACUCGGCUUCAGUUCUUAGGAGAGUUUUGGUUUUGAUUUUUUUUUUUUUUUUGGAGAAGAUUUUUUUUUUAAUGGAUCUACACUGUUAACUGAGACUCUGUUGAGAUUCACUGGUUUACUUAAAAACUUCUCAGGGAUGUCUGUAAAUUUCAGUGUUAUAUGUCAUGAAAACUGGUGUGGGCAGAUCUGUUGGUUGAAAUAAUUUCUACUGUUUCAAUGUUUUUGUAGUUACUGAGCUAAAUCAUAUGGUAAUUGACAGUUUCUAAAUCUGUCACCUAAAGGUUAAAUUAUCUACUGUUGCCGUGAAGUCAAACUUACUGCUGCCUCAGAAAUCCCUGGGUACCGCGAUGGUCAUACAGAAGUAAGGAAGUCAAUUUGAAAUGUCAGUGAGUCAAAAUGAUUAAAGAGGCCAGGUGCAGUGGCUCACGCUUGUAAUCCCAGCACUUUGGGAGGCUGAGGCAGUGGAUUGCUUGAGUCCAGGAGUUUGAGAUCAACCUGUGCGACAUGGCAAAACCCUGUCUCUACAAAAAAUACAAAACAAAUUUAUCCAG
rnacentral:lncRNA from 1 species